CUUGUGGAUAUCCCAGUUCUGGAGCUUUGUGGUCAUUGGCCUCCCAACAGAGGCUCCCUUCUUCCCUCACCUUUAGGCGGCUGCCGAGUGAUAGAGCAGAAGGAGGUUCCCAAUGGGCUCAGGGACGAAGCUUGUGGCAAGGAAACUCCAGCUGGCUAUGCCGGCCUGUGCCAGGCACACUACAAAGAGUAUCUUGUGAGCCUCAUCAAUGCCCACUCGCUGGACCCAGCCACCUUGUAUGAGGUGGAAGAGCUGGAGACGGCCACUGAGCGCUACCUGCACGUACGCCCCCAGCCUUUGGCUGGAGAGGAUCCCCCUGCUUACCAGGCCCGCUUGUUACAGAAGCUGACAGAAGAGGUACCCUUGGGACAGAGUAUCCCCCGCAGGCGGAAGUAGCUGAGGGCAAGGGUCCCGAUGAGGGUCCCAUGGCCUGCUCCCUCAGGAACAGCUCCAGCACCAAUAAAGAGGCAUCUUACCA
rnacentral:lncRNA from 1 species